AGUAACACGUGGGCAACCUGCCUUAUAGAGGGGAAUAGCCUUCCGAAAGGAAGAUUAAUACCGCAUAACAUUGUAGCUUCGCAUGAAGCAGCAAUUAAAGGAGCAAUCCACUAUAAGAUGGGCCCGCGGCGCAUUAGCUAGUUGGUGAGGUAACGGCUCACCAAGGCGACGAUGCGUAGCCGACCUGAGAGGGUGAUCGGCCACAUUGGGACUGAGACACGGCCCAAACUCCUACGGGAGGCAGCAUG
rnacentral:rRNA from 1 species